UAAACAUCGAUACCAAAAGCUGAUGCGUCUGUCAUAACAAGCUUGCGCGUAUUAACAGAAGAACGCUUUAAGAGAGUGCAUGAGAAAAUUUGACAUUUUAAAAGUUAAAUGAAUUAAAUUACGUGUGUACAUAGUAUAGUAUUACUAAUUAAUGUCAGGGUUAUUUGUUGGUCAUAUACAGAAGUGGGAGGCAGUGCAGUAAACACAUUUUAUCUUUUCAAAAUACUUUAAUUACCGGCUCACGUAAUAUUAAUGUGUUUUGGGAGUUACUCAACGGAUGUUUAUGAUAGAAGAAAUUAGCAAACUAUUAAUUCAAAAGCAGAUAUGCAUUAUAGUAAAGAGUUAAAUAAUUAACCAAAGUGGAUAUGGAAGUCGGAUCAUUUCAUGCGAAUAUUUAUUUUUGCAUGUGCUUACUGAUUUUAAGUAAGAUUGAGACAGUAUUCGGUUCAAGUGACUGUGAUUUCAGCAAACAGAAAGAUUCUCCGAGCAGUCGUCAGACCGCAUACAUCACAUUGAUGUAUAGCGACAAUGACGCUAUACCCAGGCGAGAACCAUCAGAAAUCCACAUAGACCUUCAAAAUCAGAAAUUAGUAUACGAACUAAAGGCUAGAAAACUACCAAUUAACGCGGAAACAAGGGUCACAUACGGGGACAUUUCAAAAUCUAAACGUCAACAAAAUCCGACGAUCAACAACGACUGUGUCGUUACGGGAACAUUGACGAAUGACUACAGAGACGACAUGGUGUUGUCGUUUUGCAAAAAUAUGACUGGUUUGUUUCACUAUGACACGGACACAUUUUACAUAGAAGAGGCAUUCCCCACGGAAUCCAAAGACACAGUCCAAGUUUUGGUCUCAACAUCCGCAAGAUCAAAACCCUCAGGAGAAACAUUCGGUCCCUACUCCGAUUCAGAAGUACUCGACCGUAGGAAACGUGAAACAAUUCCUCAGAUCACCAUAGAAACGGUGGUCAUUUUGGACGAGGAUUUUGUAGCGAGUGCGCGUUCACGAGGCCAGACGACCGAUCAAGAUUUGAUUGACUUUAUGACAAUGAGAUGGACAGCGGUUCAAGCAGAAUGGGGCAGGGCGGAUUUGUUUGGAUACGACAUACAAAUUGAAGUGAAAGAAGUCGUCAUAUGGGAAGCGAAUCCAUCGUGGUACAACCCCAGUACAAUCCUAUUAAACACGCUCAGCAGCAUAUGUAACGGGGCAAAUAGCCGUGGACUCUAUACGGACUACGACCAUAUUCAUCUCUUUACCGGUACCCCUGGAACGGAUGUGGCGGGCAAAGCCUUUACUGGAAAGGUGUGUGAUCCCCAGUACAAAUGCGCGGUGUCGACCGAUACACGCGUGACCGAGUUUACCAUUGCUGCACACGAGUUAGGACACAACAUGGGUAUGAACCACGACGUUGAUAACGGAUGUCCAGCACCAAAUGACGGCAUUAUGGGCUCCAAGGUCUUCGGAUGGAGCGCUUGCAGCAUCAGUGAAACCAGAGCUCUCCUUAACCAGAGUUCAUCAAGUUGUUUGAAUGUAACAAACGUCAGCUCCCAGACCGCUAUAAACCUUGUCGAGGCCUGGCCAGGUAUGAUAUACACGGAUGACGAGAUUUGUGAAUUUAAGUACGGACAGGGAUACAGAUACAGAAAAUUUCCCUUUAGCUCUUUCACUGAAUGCACGAUUCACUCCUGUGUGAAUAUGAACACGAGUUCUCCACUGUACGGUAUCAUGUACAACGAGGCUGUGCCCACGGAUGGGAGAUACUGUGGCCCCCAGCAGGUUUGUUCAUCCCAAGUGGUCAAUGCUGCAUACGAGUGUAUAUUCUGGAACGAAACCGGUCUUGACCUUGAUCUAUUUACGGAAGUGGAAAAUCCGGGAAACUGGUCUAAUUACGAUGAAAUGACGUCAUGUAGUCGCACGUGUGGAACAGGAGUUCAGUACCAACAGAGAAAAUGCAACAAUCAAACAUCAAGGAACACGAUAUGGUGUGACGGAAAUGAGUACCAGGCACAACUCUGCAACACAGAUCCCUGUCCAGAUGAUCCCGGAGACGAAGUCGAACUUCGGAAGAAACGUGCAGGAGAGCGUUGCAGCCACAUGAGAACAGCCAAUCUGUAUGAUGAAAUAAACCUGGUGUCCACCGAUUUUCUCGAUACGGGGGAUAGGUUCAACAGUUAUGAAUGGGGCCAGUGUGAGGUGAAGUGUGAUACAGUGGAGGGAAAGACGGUGGGUGGUUUUCAACGGUUCGGUCUGAUGCCCGACGGAACGCCAUGUGACAUUCCGGAAACUGCAACAUUUAUUGAACUUAACAACCUGCCACGUGGUUCCGGUCGCACGGGGCGAUGUGUACAAGGGUUUUGUCAGUUGUUUGGGUGUGACAACCGGACCAGUGAUGUGGUUCUUGACGGUUGUGGGGUAUGUAAUGGCACCAAUUCCACGUGCCAGAUCGAAGAGGGCAUCUACACGGUCAACGUUACUAAAGGUAAACAACGGGAAAUUAUAACUCUUCCAGCCGGUACCUACAACAUCAUGUUUUACUUCGCAUACAGCAAUAUGAAGCAGCACUUCUUUGAACUACGAACGCUUGACGGGACUGAUAUUAUAUCGGGCACUAGCGAUACGCGAGCGAACCCCAAAAAUUACGCAGGCACCUACUGGUACUCUUUCUUCAACAGUGCAUACCUAUAUGCCGAAGGACCGACAGACACCCCCGUAGUGAUUAAGCUACACAACAGGGGCUCAUUUUCCAAUGUCGGUGUGCAGUACGCAUAUUCUUCACCAAACAAUAUGAGCUCGUGCACGGGAACUUGUGAGAAUGGGGGCAUGUGGAACGACACUCUGUGUGGCUGUGAGUGCGCUUCCGGUUUCUACGGUAAAUCAUGCAACACAACCUGCAAUAAGUACUGCAACAACGGACAAAACCUGGCGACAGACGCGUGCCAGUGCGAUUGUCAGGGGAACACGUAUGGUACAGUCUGUAAUUGCAGGUACCCAUAUACUGGUCGCGACUGCCAGGACUGCAAGGUUACUUCCUGUCAGAAUGGGGGAACAUUCAACACCACUGGCUGCAGGUGUACCUGUCCUGUUGGAUUCGGUGGACUCGACUGCAGUAACACGUGUGCUGACAAUUCCGAAGACUGUGCAACCGAUGCAGCCGCAGGGAAAUGCGAGAGUAAUAAUGAAAAUAUGGAGCAAAAUUGCUACUUGUCAUGCGGUUUUUGCGAAGCAGGCUUGACAACGCCAACACCGAAUACAGAUACAACAACCAACAGCAAUGCGACUGAGGUAUGUGUUUGUUUAAACAUUCAUGCUGAAAUGAAGAAUAGAUUAAAUGUAUUGGCAGCUUUCUCAGUGUACUCUGUAAGAGUAAGAUCAUAAUGAAUAUUUGCUUCAGACACAACCCGAGUUAUUAGAAUUAUAGACGAAUGCGAAUUUAAAUAAAUCAAUUAUUUUAAUCAAGAAGCUAGGGGUGACGUAGCUGUUUUGUACCGUGUUCUUAAUGGCAAUGUUCAAAAUAUAACGUGCGGAAUGAGUGAAUAUCGUUGCUACUUAUCCGCACAAUCUGUAUUGUACUAUUAAGCUCCGCAUACCUGGUGACUUGUUUCUGUAUUGGUGUUAGUGUAAAGACGAAAACAAAUAAAACACUCUCCAAUAUGGUACCAGUAUAGAUGCGUGAUUUGGACAAUUUAAGUAAAUAACUUAAAAACCUGGUAUAGGUAUGCAUAUUGAAUAUGUUUUGAUUGAGUAAUGAACGUUCACUGAACCUAUGUUUCUACUGAUUCCAAUUUUUAUUCAUAACGCCAUAUGGUCAUGGGGCAUAUAUCUCAGAUACACAUUUGAACAAAACAGACGGAUAGAGAACCGCACAUUUGCUUUUCAUUUCGUUUAGUUUGAAUUAGCUUUUUUAUUUUAUUAAUGUUGUUUGUAUCUAUAGAAGCCAAAAAUGAGCGUCUGCAAACAACAUAGGCUUCGUAUGCAGCAAAAGGGUAUAGGCUAAUAUGUGUGCUCUUAUUAACCAUAUGUUAACCAUGUAUAUUAACAGUAGAUAUACAAUAGUCAAGCGACCAUAUCUGUCUUCAAACCCUUCUUUAAAAAGCUUUGCAUUUUCGGUGUACAAGUAUGUUGACAUGUUUUGCAAGUCUUAUAAAGGUAUUGAUUUGCAAUGUUAAAUAAUGUGUCCUUUUUCUAUAUAUAAUUGUAUUAUUGGGUAUGUUUUAAGAUUGCUGUUUCAAAUUUUAUAUCAAAAGUCAACGUUCAAUAAAAGGGUAUAUAUGGGUGAAGGACAAGGUCGCAUUUAUGAUGUCAUGAAUACUUACUGUGUUAAGACUAUUCUGUUAAGACUAAGAGCACAUUCUUAGAAAGACUAGUAUCAGUCUGGUAGCAAUCGUCCAGUAGAUUUAGUGAUGUUCGAUAGCUCCAGGGGAGACAAUGUGUAAAUGACAACAACAAUAUAUGCUGUUAACAAAAGUGAUGAAUGUAUUUGGUGUAUUGGGAUAUUUUAGUUGUCCUGAAAUUAUGAAAACAUUUUCCGAAAUUCAAUAAAAAAGAGCGCAGUUUUUUCAAGUACGGAUGUAGAGAAUGCUAGCUUAUUACCGUGAACACAAGAAAGAUUAUAAAGCAAGGCAGAGGAAUUAAUCAGGUGAGUCGAGUGCGAAAUUCUGAAGCCGAGCCAGAUAAACUUUCUCCAUCUACGGCACUAACCUAAUAUUCCAUUUAUCGUAUCUCCUUUGAAUAAAACACGAAAAAUUACGUUUAAAUGGGUAAAAUGUAUUAACAAGUACCUUUUGUUCACCCGACAACUGAUCUUGAUGAUGUCACAGCUUUUUAACAAGCAUGCAUGUAUACUGAGCAGAUUGAAACAAAACGGUUCUAUCUUAAAACAGUUUUGAUAUUGAAAUGUUUUAUAAAAAAAUGUGGAAAAAUUACUACAAUGUAUGUUUUCGUGGUCAACUAAGAUAAUAAAUCAAUAUUUACAAAACACCUUUUCAAGGGAUGGAUUUGUAUGCAAGUGACAGGAUAAAUUGUAUUACAAGUGUAAACACUAAUAUAUUAUUGGAAGUAUCCACUACUUAACAAUGUAUCGUGUGACAUUGCAUUGCCAAAUCAUAGCGAAGCAAAACAUUCUGGAGUGUGAAUGUUUCUAGACACGAUUUACUCAUGUUGCCAAACGAAUGGCCUUUGCUGUAUGCACAUGACAUGGUAACAGUAUGCAGCGCGUUAGGUUGAAACUAGGUUUCAAUUCAAUUUGACAAUAAUAAUUGCAUUAGAUAAAUAUAUACCAUAUUUCUUUUGUUUAGUUUUUCCUGCUAGUAAAACAAAUAUAGCCUCUAAACUAACAGGAUGAAAUAUAGUACUGGUAAGCUUAUGAAAAUGCUGUAUGACAGUGGUUAAUUAAGUCAGAGUCUGAAAGAUCGUGUAGCUUACGAUAAUUUCACCGUUAUACGAACCUUUAUCAGGUGAUUUUUUACUUAAGCAUUCUUUUCUUUUUUUUCAAAUAAGAAUGAACAUUUUAAUACGACGCUUUAUUUCAAAAGAAAAUGAUCAAAUCAUUAUGUAUUGAGUACACUGAUGUAAUUGAUCAGUUAAUGUAUAGUAGUUUUCGGUUCUCUUGGCAUUUUGUAUAAAGUUGGAUACAACUGUUUCAUUCAGAAGCAAUUUGUGUUGCAUGGAGCCUGACACAAUUACUAUUUAUAAUUUUAGAAAAAUAUGAGUAUCUUAAAAUGCUUGUUAAAAGAGAUAUAAUAAAAACAUUUUGUUCGAAUUAUUCAAUCACAAAAAUGUAUAUGUAUUGCUUAAACGUGUUCAGUUGUAUUAAACACUGUAAUACAUAUAAUAAUUAACUUCAUCUCACUUCACCAGUAUAACAAUGUAUUCUCACGAAUUUCAGCUUUGCAUGGAAAUAUAUAUAAAACUAUUUACUUUUCUUCAUUAUCAUACUCAUCUAUUUACUAAAAUAUUCGUUUCCUUUCAUGCCAAAAUUAUGUCAUGAAAAGAACCAUUCUAAAUGUAAAAGAAAAUUACUUUCUAAGUUUCUUUUUCGAGGGUAGAAUUUGUUAAGAACAACAUUAAAAGUCUUUGCAUUUUACAUUACUUGUCGCUCAUUAAUAAACGUUUAGAUGAAUCAGGUAUCGCUGUAUUUCGAGAAUUGCUCUGAUGGAAUUAUUUUUAAACAACUUUAAAAAGUAAUAUUUUUAUCACAGGGGCCAGGAAAUAACGGACACAGAGGCUGCGCCGGUGUUUACAUCGUGGGAAAGGAUUUAUAUGUUACUUUACUUGUCUGUUAUAGUGCACUCAUAUUUGCUAUUUAUUAAUGACUGUCUUAUACUCAAGUGUAAUAAUUGACAAUACUUCGAAACAUGCUAGGUUAUGAAUGACAUUACAUAAUGCAUUGGAAAAAAAACUUAAAUAUUUUGCAUUUUUGCAAGUGUUUUGAAAAAAAAAUGUUACGUUUAAGACAACAAGUUUUACGUUUUAUUGGGUCAGACAUUAUAAAACAUAAAUACGUGUGGCAUGUUAACCAACCGCGUGUAACGAUUUUAAAACACCAACAUUUAAAGUUCAAAUAAGAAUUAUGUUACCAUACUGUAUUUAAAAAACAACAACAGAAAGUGCUCUUUGUUAGCUGAAAAGUGUUGCAAGGUUGCAAGGUUUUUAUAACGCUUAUAUUAUGCUUUUAUAAACUAACUUAUGGUCAAAUGAUCAUUUUAGUUCCAUUUUGGUGUGUGUUGAUCAGUAAGAAUACAAACUCAAUUUCAAAUAACCUUUGCUAACAAGAUCAAUGUUAGUGAGUUCUAUUAAAGGUACUCGCUCAUAUUUUUGGACCAAAAUAAGUUUUCCCGGAAAUGCAUUUUAUCAUAUUUUUUUUCUCUGAUAACGAAAUUUCAGGAAAAAACCCCAACAGUUUAGAUACAAACAAUGUUGGUUUAAGUGAAAUACGAAUCCACGCUGGUAAAGUCAAUACACGCAUAGAAAGCAGACGCCUAAACAUCACGGCCACCGGGACAUCAAUUAUAUUAUUUUGACCUCUCUUUACAAUACGAGGGUUGUCCGGAAAGUUUUGAGACUGCAUUCAUAAAAAAGCUUACCGCACAUAGGAUGUAUUUAAAAGUUAAUCAGCUGUCAAUUGUAUCUGAUAUAAACAAAUCCUGAAAGUUUCAACAAUGUACUACGAAGUGAACGUAUACAACAAACAUUACAAAAAGUACAGUUUACAAGCCACGGAGCACUUCCUUGUCCCAUUGCGUCACAUCAUUUACAGUUUUUCAAAAUGCGCUCCUUCUGCACGUACACACUUACGGUGACAAUCAACCCAUUGCUUGAAUAUCUGUCCGUACCACUCUUUUAUGAUAUUAUGAACCACUGUCCAUUUUAUCUGAACAGAUUCGCAAAUUUCCCUCACUGUCCUUCGCCGGUCUUCUUGUAACAUGUCCCGCACUGAAUUUGCGUCCCUUUCACUCACGACUGACGGUCUGCCGCCCCACUUUAAAUUGCACACAUUUCCAUGCCCGUCACUGAAACAUACAUGUCAGCGAAAUACCAAAGCCCUUGAACAUGAUGGCUUUUAUAUAUCCUGUGUUAGAAGCGUAUAAGUAUUUGUAGGAGUUAUCCCACUGCGAACACAGUGUUUGGUCAUAGCGCGCUGCUCCGUGCGUGACGUCAACGUUGAUUUUUUCCCACAUCUUCGAAAUACCUCUCUACUUCCGCUGAUCGUUACAACCAUGUUUACAGUUAGAUUGUGUUAAUAAUUGGCGCAGUGAUGCAGCUGACGUCAUACUGUCGUAUUAUGUUUUGACGUGCUGUUUUGGCAUCUAUUAUUCAGACGGAGUAGUAUAUAUGAAUUGUGAACAAUUUUCAGAAAACGUCAAUUUCAAAGUGCUCCGUGAAGCGCCAGAUGGGUUGUCUUGACAACCAUUUCCUUCCUUAUUAUAAGAUUAUUUAAUUUUAUUUUUCAAAAGGAAACUCGUGAAUAGUCUAUAUACACAGCUGUUUAUUGUUUGUUGAUUUAUAUUUAAAACAUUUUGAAAUAUAGACACAGUCUAAAAACUUUCCGUACAUUGACACAUUACAUCUUGUGGUAAUGUUUAUUCAAUCAAUCACGCAACAACAAAGCUGUUAUUAAGUGAUUAAUAGAGUUGUUAACACUGAUGAAAAAUGUGGUCUUCAAAGACAAUAUUUGAGCAAAUAUCAACAUUUGCUGAAGGCUUCAAGCUUUUUGAUUCUUAGUUUUAACACACCUAAUGGUUUGCUACACUUUAUUUUGCCAUUAAAAAAGUGCAUUUUACAAUAACAUGAGCAAUUAUCCUUAAACUAAUACAGAAAAUCAGUGUCUGAAUGUAUGCAUUGUAAGCAUCUGUUUUAGAUAUAUUGAAGUAAGCUCUUGCUAUUGCUGUUGACGCUUAUAUUCUAUUUUUACACUAUUAUAGCUACUUUUUACAAUAUUCUGUGGUUUUUUUCUUUAUUAAAUGACAAAUAUAAAUAUAUUUAUCUGUUA